UCAGUGUUCACAGUAAAACUGUAACUUAAAGCGGGUACAGCCUCAGUGUUCACAGUAAAGCAGGUACAGCCUCAGUGUUCACAGUAAAGCAGGUACAGCCUCAGUGUUCACAGUAAAGCAGGUACAGCCUCAGUGUUCACAGUAAAGCAGGUACAGCCUCAGUGUUCACAGUAAAGCAGGUACAGCCUCAGUGUUCACAGUAAAGCAGGUACAGCCUCAGUGUUCACAGUAAAGCAGGUACAGCCUCAGUAUUCACAGUAAAGCAGGUACAGCCUCAGUGUUCACAGUAAAGCAGGUACAGC